GACGUGAGGUGCAAGCGUUAUCCGGAUUCAUUGGGCGUAAAGUGUGCGCAGGCGGUGAGCUGUGUCCGAUGUGAAAGCCCCGGGCUUAACCUGGGAAUGGCAUUGGAAACUGGCUCGCUGGAGUGUGGCAGAGGGGGGUGGAAUUCCGCGUGUAGCAGUGAAAUGCGUAGAGAUGCGGAGGAACACCGAUGGCGAAGGCAGCCCCCUGGGCUAACACUGACGCUCAGGCACGAAAGCGUGUGGAGCAAACAGG
rnacentral:rRNA from 1 species